GACGAACGCUGGCGGCGUGCCUAAUACAUGCAAGUAGAACGCACAGUUUAUACCGUAGCUUGCUCCACCAUAGACUGUGAGUUGCGAACGGGUGAGUAACGCGUAGGUAACCUGCCUGGUAGCGGGGGAUAACUAUUGGAAACGAUAGCUAAUACCGCAUAAUAUUAAUUAUUGCAUGAUAAUUAAUUGAAAGGUGCAAUUGCACCACUACCAGAUGGACCUGCGUUGUAUUAGCUAGUAGGUGAGGUAACGGCUCACCUAGGCGACGAUACAUAGCCGACCUGAGAGGGUGAUCGGCCACACUGGGACUGAGACACAGCCCAGACUCCUACGGGAGGCAGCAGGAGGGAAUCUUCGGCAAUGGACGAAAGUCUGACCGAGCAACGCCGCGUGAGUGAAGAAGGUUGUCGGAUCGUAAAGCUCUGUUGUAAGAGAAGAACGGGUGUGAGAGUGGAAAGUUCACACUGUGACGGUAUCUUACCAGAAAGGGACGGCUAACUACGUG
rnacentral:rRNA from 1 species